ACCAAUUAUCUGAUUAUAUCCAAACGAAUCCAAACAUUCGACGCAUUGUCAUAAUCAUUCAGUUUGCAAGGGUUAAUAAUGUUUGGAGAGGUAUAAUAUGUUUUUUUCAUUAUUUUUAAAUGAUAAACAUUAACUACUUCUUCAUUUUAUACUUUUUUUUAUAUAUAGGUCACCCUUACGUGGAUACAUAUUUUGAUGUAUCAAAGUUCAUCAUCAAUACCGACAUUGAUGAGAUAUCUGAUUUCAGAAAGAGUUUGAAUCAAGAUGGUCCCAAUCAAAACUCAUCAAGUACUUUCACAGUUAUGCAAUCUAAUCAAACUUCUGAAAGGGAUGAUUUCAUACUCAAGAAUGAGCUGAAAAUAAUUGCAGAUAUUUUUGAUCCGAUUCAGAUAAAUACACUCAUUAUUGUCGCCACAAUAAUUGGAAUUGUCCAAAAUUUACCUUGGUCUUAUCCGGCGUGUAAAAGUUGCAAUACCAAGGUAUUUGUAGACAAUGUCACCGGAUGAGUUUAAAACUGUAGAAAUCCAGAAUGCAAAACAAUUGAAACGUCAAUAAUUCCAAGGUUCAUGAUUCCGGUGCGUGUUCAAGAUAAUACCGGAAGUAUAACAUUGACAAUGUUUGAGCAAGACGCGAAGAAGCUGCUGAAAAUAUCUGCAAAAGAUUUAAUUGAAAAAACAGCUCGGCUUGGCUUUGAUACAACAAAACCCCCCUCUGAUAUUAAUGUUUUGAAAAACAUGAAACUAGCCUUUAAAGUUUCUAUUAAAAAAUACAACGUCCAAAGGAACAACAAUUAGUAUACUAUUUUGAGGGUUAGUGAUGAUGAGAAGUUGAUAGAAGAUUUGGAAAAAAAGUUUGCUACUACAGAGAGUCCACAUAUUACAAAGGUAGGUCACUUGACCUACCUUAUUAUUAUUAUUUUUUAAUAAGAAGUAUAGAAAAUGAAAAUUGUGACCUACCUUAAUUAUGUUUAGUGAACUACCCUAUUGUUUUGGCAAAA